UGGGGAAUCAUGGUCAAUGGGCGAAAGCCUGAACCUGCGACGCCGCGUGAGUGAGGAAGGUCGUAAGAUCGUAAAACUCUUUUCAGGGAUCUUAAAGCCUGUCCGUCAACAACGGGCAGGUCUGACUCUCCCUGGAAGAAGCCCCAGCCAACUACGUGCCAGCAGCUGCGGUAAUACGUAGGGGGCGAGCGUUAUUCGGAAUUACUGGGUGUAAAGGGUAUGUAGGCGGCCCUUCAAGUCGCGCGUCAAAGUCCAGUG
rnacentral:rRNA from 1 species